GCGGCCCCGAUCAAGACAAGCGGCUUGUAGUAGCUGCUGGUUUCAAAGGGUGCCUACAUAAAGUCCUUCCUGUGGUCUGUUGAUUUUUCCUGAGUUAUAAAUGGACUAAUCUUUUCAGUUGGAAGAAACAAAA